rnacentral:lncRNA from 10 species
CAGGACGAGCCGCAGACAAAACUCCUUAGACACCGGAUUGAAGAAGGCAGACUUGCGUCUCAAAAGCCGAGCUCACCGCAAUUCUAUGAAAGAAAAAAAUCCCAUUUUCCCAGGGAGAAACUGAACCAUUCUGACCUCUGGUUAUGGCUGUCAUCCAAACAGUUUAUAUAACCUGUCUGGGAAAUUGAAGAUUGUUCAUAUCUAACUCUGCAGUUACAAAAGGACCAUGUCUCAUGGAAUUAUCCACGCUCAGAUCUUCCGCAUGGCUCAAAACCAUUUUUGGGAUAUGAGACAGGGUCUCACUAUGUUGCUCAGGCUGGUCUCAAACUCCUGGCCUCAAGCGAUCCUCCCACUUUGGACUCCUAGGAUUACAGGUGUGAGCCACCAUGCCGGCCUCUGUCAAGUCUUAUUACUUUAAAUUAUUUACCUCUGUUUGUUUAUAUAUACUUACAUACUCUGAUGGUUUAAAAGAAUAUGCAGUGAAAAUUAAGUCUCCUUCCCAUCCUCUGCACCCUGGGCACCCAGGAUCCUUUCUUAACAACCACUGUUACCAGUUUAUUGUUAACAUAGGUUUUAAUGCACUAGAAAUGUAGUAUCAGAGCACCAUCAAAAUAGUAACAGAGUGUUGUAUAUCUCCCCUGUAAGAGUCACAGCCCACACCUCUACAACAAACACAGGGUAACAAGAGAAAAGCAAAACAGCUGGGCACAGUGGCUCAUGUCUGUAAUCCCAGCACUUUGGGAGGCUGAAGUGGGAGGAUUGCUUGAGGCCAGUAGUUCGAGGCUGCAAGUCAGCUAUAAUUGCACUACUCCACUCUAGCCUGGGUGACAGAGCGAGACUCCACCUCUA